rnacentral:lncRNA from 1 species
GAUCACCAGACUGUUGAGGCAAGACCGGUUCAGGUAACAAGCUAUAAUAUUCAAAAGGAAUCAGGAGAUACUGACAACAAAGGCGGUUGUUACAUGGACGUGACACAUGCUGCUGAUCCGAUAUCGGUUGCUGCCACAAAUGGAACCAAUGAAGGAGGCUCAGCGUCUAAGGUUAGCGCUGGUAAAAUGAAAAGGAGAAUAUGUCAUGAGUGUGGAUUAAAGGGUCAUCUUUCUUCUGCAUGUCCUAAGAAGCAGC